rfam:Asian citrus Psyllid, Diaphorina citri - Florida Strain, whole genome shotgun sequence.
GCCUAGUUCGCUUGGUUGGUAGCGCGCCUGCUUUGUAAGCGCUAGGCCGCGGGUUCGAUUCCCGCCCGGGGCG